rnacentral:SRP_RNA from 1 species
CUGUGCUAGACGGGGAACUAGCGGUGCCCUGUAACCUGCAAUCCGCUAUAGCAGGGUUGAAUUCCUUCCUAGAGGUUUGCUCAGCCUCGUUCUAUUUUCAGCAAGCGAUAUUGAUAGUUCAAGUCUCACGCAACAGACGAGUGCCCAACCCCGUCAGGACCGGAAGGUAGCAGCGGUAAGCAUGCAGUGUGUGUGCCGUGAGGGCUCUUGGCUGGAGUUGGCUGCUGAAAGUGAACCAGGAAAGUGAGGAAUCGACGGUAGGUGCACAG